GACGAACGCUGGCGGCGUGCCUAAUACAUGCAAGUAGAACGCUGAAGAGAGGAGCUUGCUCUUCUUGGAUGAGUUGCGAACGGGUGAGUAACGCGUAGGUAACCUGCCUUGUAGCGGGGGAUAACUAUUGGAAACGAUAGCUAAUACCGCAUAACAAUGGAUGACACAUGUCUUUUAUUUGAAAGGGGCAAUUGCUCCACUAUAAGAUGGACCUGCGUUGUAUUAGCUAGGAGGUGAGGUAAUGGCUCAACUAGGCGAAGAUACAUAACCGACCUGAGAGGGGGAUCGGCCACACUGGGACUUAGACACGGCCCAGGCUUCUACGGGAGGCAGCAGUAGGGAAUCUUCGGCAAUGGGGGCAACCCUGACCGAGCAACGCCGCGUGAGUGAAGAAGGUUUUCGGAUCGUAAAGCUCUGUUGUAAGUCAAGAACGGAUGGGAGAGUGGAAAGUUCACACUGUGACGGUAGCUUACCAGAAAGGGACGGCUAACUACGUG
rnacentral:rRNA from 1 species